GAUGAACGCUGGCGGCGUGCCUAAUACAUGCAAGUCGAGCGAACGGACGAGAAGCUUGCUUCUCUGAUGUUAGCGGCGGACGGGUGAGUAACACGUGGAUAACCUACCUAUAAGACUGGGAUAACUUCGGGAAACCGGAGCUAAUACCGGAUAAUAUUUUGAACCGCAUGGUUCAAAAGUGAAAGACGGUCUUGCUGUCACUUAUAGAUGGAUCCGCGCUGCAUUAGCUAGUUGGUAAGGUAACGGCUUACCAAGGCAACGAUGCAUAGCCGACCUGAGAGGGUGAUCGGCCACACUGGAACUGAGACACGGUCCAGACUCCUACGGGAGGCAGCAGUAGGGAAUCUUCCGCAAUGGGCGAAAGCCUGACGGAGCAACGCCGCGUGAGUGAUGAAGGUCUUCGGAUCGUAAAACUCUGUUAUUAGGGAAGAACAUAUGUGCAAAUAACUGUGCACAUCUUGACGGUACCUAAUCAGAAAGCCACGGCUAACUACGUG
rnacentral:rRNA from 1 species